rnacentral:rRNA from 1 species
AACGAACGCUGGCGGCAUGCCUAAUACAUGCAAGUCGAACGAGAUCUUCGGAUCUAGUGGCGCACGGGUGCGUAACGCGUGGGAAUCUGCCCUUGGGCUCGGAAUAACUUCUGGAAACGGAAGCUAAUACCGGAUGAUGACGUAAGUCCAAAGAUUUAUCGCCCAAGGAGGAGCCCGCGUAGGAUUAGCUAGUUGGUGGGGUAAAGGCCCACCAAGGCGACGCUCCUUAGCUGGUCUGAGAGGAUGAUCAGCCACACUGGGACUGAGACACGGCCCAGACUACUACGGGAGGCAGGAGUAGGGAAUAUUGGACAAUGGGGGAAACCCUGAUCCAGCAAUGCCGCGUGAGUGAUGAAGGCCUUAGGGUUGUAAAGCUCUUUUACCCGGGAUGAUAAUGACAGUACCGGGAGAAUAAGCUCCGGCUAACUCCGUG